GGUGGCUCAGUGGUUAAAGCACUUGGCUGCUAACCAAGAUCUCAGUGGUUCAAACCCACCAGCCA
rnacentral:tRNA from 1 species